AGAGUUUGAUCAUGGCUCAGGAUGAACGCUAGCGGCAGGCCUAACACAUGCAAGUCGAGGGGUAGAGAUAGCAAUAUCUUGAGACCGGCGCACGGGUGAGUAACGCGUAUGCAACCUACCCUAUACAGGGGGAUAGCUCAGUGAAAAUUGAAUUAAUACCCCAUAAAGCAGGGGUACCGCCUGGUACUAUUUGCUAAAGAUUUAUCGGUAUAGGAUGGGCAUGCGUGUCAUUAGCUAGUUGGUAAGGUAACGGCUUACCAAGGCUACGAUGACUAGGGGGUCUGAGAGGAUGAUCCCCCACACUGGUACUGAGACACGGACCAGACUCCUACGGGAGGCAGCAGUGAGGAAUAUUGGUCAAUGGGCGCAAGCCUGAACCAGCCAUGCCGCGUGAAGGAUGACUGCCCUAAGGGUUGUAAACUUCUUUUGUACGGGGGUAAUUUUUCGGUUGCGACCGAAAUUGAAAGUACUGUACGAAUAAGCGUCGGCUAACUACGUGCCAGCAGCCGCGGUAAUACGUAGGACGCAAGCGUUAUCCGGAUUUAUUGGGUUUAAAGGGUGCGUAGGCGGACUUAUAAGUCAGUGGUGAAAGACUGUCGCUCAACGAUAGCAUUGCCAUUGAUACUGUAUGUCUUGAGUACAAUUGAGGUAGGCGGAAUGUGUAGUGUAGCGGUGAAAUGCUUAGAUAUUACACAGAACACCGAUUGCGAAGGCAGCUUACUAAAUUGUUACUGACGCUGAGGCACGAAAGCGUGGGGAUCAAACAGGAUUAGAUACCCUGGUAGUCC
rnacentral:rRNA from 1 species